CAUUUGGUUCAGAUCGGGUGAUUGAUUUGGCCGCUCAAGAAUUGACCGUUGUUUAGCUUUGAAAAACGCCUUUGUUGCUUCAGCAGGGCUUUUG